rnacentral:lncRNA from 1 species
AGAAUGGUUAGGUAAUAACUUAACCCAAAUAAAAGAUAAAACUAAGGCAUCACUUGUAGUAAGCUUUUCGGCAAAAAUUGCAUUAGCCAAGUACACCAAAAAGCUAAGCAUACACUUCCAAGGAAAGCUAUUAUAUUGGUUAGUCGGGUAAGACUUGCUGAGUACUUCGUACUCAGGGGAUCCCUUGUUGUUAUUUUCAGAAAAACCAGCAGGGACUCACCGAAGAGGAAGC